GACGAACGCUGGCGGCGUGCUUAACACAUGCAAGUCGAACGAUGAAGCCUUCGGGUGGAUUAGUGGCGAACGGGUGAGUAACACGUGGGCAAUCUGCCCUGUACUUUGGGAUAAGCCUUGGAAACGGGGUCUAAUACCGGAUAUCACUUCUGACCGCAUGGUUGGUUGUUGAAAGUUCUGGCGGUACAGGAUGAGCCCGCGGCCUAUCAGCUUGUUGGUGGGGUAAUGGCCUACCAAGGCGACGACGGGUAGCCGGCCUGAGAGGGUGACCGGCCACACUGGGACUGAGACACGGCCCAGACUCCUACGGGAGGCAGCAGUGGGGAAUAUUGCACAAUGGGCGAAAGCCUGAUGCAGCGACGCCGCGUGAGGGAUGACGGCCUCGG
rnacentral:rRNA from 1 species